rnacentral:rRNA from 1 species
AGUGAACGCUGGCGGCAGGCCUAACACAUGCAAGUCGAACGGCAGCACAGUAAGAGCUUGCUCUUACGGGUGGCGAGUGGCGGACGGGUGAGGAAUACAUCGGAAUCUACUUUUUCGUGGGGGAUAACGUAGGGAAACUUACGCUAAUACCGCAUACGACCUACGGGUGAAAGCAGGGGAUCUUCGGACCUUGCGCGAUUGAAUGAGCCGAUGUCGGAUUAGCUAGUUGGCGGGGUAAAGGCCCACCAAGGCGACGAUCCGUAGCUGGUCUGAGAGGAUGAUCAGCCACACUGGAACUGAGACAAGGUCCAGACUCCUACGGGAGGCAGCAGUGGGGAAUAUUGGACAAUGGGCGCAAGCCUGAUCCAGCCAUACCGCGUGGGUGAAGAAGGCCUUCGGGUUGUAAAGCCCUUUUGUUGGGAAAGAAAAGCAGCAGGUUAAUACCCCGCUGUUCUGACGGUACCCAAAGAAUAAGCACCGGCUAACUUCGUG